CAACCUUUCCGCUGGCGAGACGACAAACUGGCUGCCAUCAGGAACGUUUGGGACAGGUGGGUGGAGGAGCGCCUACCACUGAUGUACAAUCCAGGCCCUGAGGUGACUGUGGACGAGCGCCUGGUCCCUUUCCGAGGUCGCUGUCCAUUCAAACAGUGCAUCCCAAGCAAACCAGGCAAGUAUGGGAUCAAGAUCUGGGCAGCAUGUGAUGCCUGGAGCAGCUACGCCUGGAAUAUGCAGGUUUACACGGGGAAACCUGUAACCGGAAGGCCAGAAAAAAAACAAGGCAUGCGUGUUGUGUUGGACAUGAGAGCCGGUCUCAAGGGGCAUUACAUCACAUUUGAUAACCUUUUCACAUCACAUGGGCUUGGUCAGGAGCUGCUGAAAAGGAAGUUCACCAUGGGGGGACAGUGAGGAAGAACACGCCUCAACUUCCCCCUGCACUGGUUUCGACCAGAGGGAGAAAUGCACUAUCAUCCAAAUUUGCUUUCACUGGCACACACAGUCUUGUGUCAUAUUUGCCCAAGAAAAAUAAGAAUGUCAUCCUGAUGAGCGCUCGACACAAAUACGCCGCUGUCAGCAAAGCAGAGCACAGGAAACCCCAGAUCAUCCUGGACUACAACAGAAACAAAGGAGGCGUUGACUGCCUUGAUAAGCUUACUGGUACAUACACCUGCAAGUGAAUGACAGCUCGUUGGCCUGUGGCAGUGUUCCACAACAUCCUUGAUGUGUCGGCAUGUAAUGCAUAUGUGGUGUGGUCAGCGAUUGACCAAGUCUGGAAUCAGGGGAAAUGUUUCAAGAGGAGACUCUUCCUGGCAGAGCUUGGGCAAGCUUUAGUGACUCCUCUAAUUCACCUGCGCCAGCACCUUCCCCGCACACCAGCCUAUGGCAGUCUGGUGAGGAGUCUGCAAGCCCUCGCCACUGUCCUGGCCGCUCUCCCCCCAAAACAGGGGCAGAAAUGGAAGAGAUGCCAGCUCUGUGCCCCUAGAGACAAUGAGACAAGUCUUACAUGUUUCAAAUGUGAUGCAUACGUUUGCAAGGCACACUGCGACCUGAUUGCAAAAUGCCACUCCUGUGUUUGAACACACACACACACACACACACACACACACACACACACACACACACACACACACACACACACACACACACACACACACACACACACACACACACACACACACACACACACACACACACACACACACACACACACACACACACACACACACACGAUGUGUUCAUGUUGAUGUUCUGUGAAUUUGGUCUCUGUUUGGAUUUUUCAGUCUUUUUUUUUUUACAAUAAUUCCUAUUGUAACUCCUAUUCACUGCAGUUAUUCAUGUAAACCAGUAGUCUGAGGCAUUGUUUACAGGUUAAAAGGGAGUUCAAUAAAAUUUGGCAAUGAU